rnacentral:rRNA from 1 species
GAUGAACGCUGACAGAAUGCUUAACACAUGCAAGUCGAUGGGGAAGUGGUGCUUGCACCCUGGCAACCAUGGCGGACGGGUGAGUAACGCGUAAGGGACUUACCUGCAGGACUGGGAUAACAGGGGGAAACUCCUGACAAGACCGGAUAAUGUCAUGGAGCUGCAUGGCUUUAUGAUGAAAGGAGACGCCUGCGGAGAGCCUUGCGUCCUAUUAGCUAGUUGGUGAGGUAAUGGCUCACCAAGGCGAAGAUAGAUAGCCGGCCGGAGAGGGUGGACGGCCACAAGGGGACUGAGAGACGGCCCUUACUCCUACGGGAGGCAGCAGUGGAGAAUAGUGGACAAUGGGGGCAACCCUGAUCCAGCAAUUCUGUGUGCACGAAGAAGGUUUUCGGAUUGUAAAGUGCUUUCAGCAGGGAAGAAGUAAGUGACGGUACCUGCAGAAGAAGCGACGGCUAAAUACGUG